GACAGAGGGUGCAAACGUUGUUCGGAAUUACUGGGCGUAAAGAGCUCGUAGGCGGUUUGUCGCGUCGUCUGUGAAAGCCCUCAGCUCAACUGAGGAAGUGCGCCCGAAACUGCAGAGCUUGAGUGCCGGAGAGGGUGGCGGAAUUCCCCAAGUAGAGGUGAAAUUCGUAGAUAUGGGGAGGAACACCGGUGGCGAAGGCGGCCACCUGGACGGCAACUGACGCUGAGACGCGAAAGCGUGGGGAGCAAACAGG
rnacentral:rRNA from 1 species